rnacentral:lncRNA from 1 species
CUCUUCGCUCACCAUCACUUGCCAACCCGUGUCCCGCCAGCCUCCUCGCCAGCACCAUAGAGCGCCUUACAACUAAAUAAAGACCCGAGACCUCGCGCAAACCAGGGUGCUGCCCUUUCCAGGCAAGAGGGAAGGCAGGCAGAGAUGAGGACAGGAACAGAGACAGAGUGAGAUGGAAGGAUGGAGCUAGGCAAGGAUGGGUGGAAGGAGGGACCCCGGAAGGGAGAGAAAGAGGGAGGGAGGGAGAAAGGGAGGAAAAAGCCAGGGGAGGGAGGGUAGAACAGAUGGAAGGAUGGACGGAGAGACAAAAGGAGCAAGAAACAGAGAACAGAAGGCAGAGACAAAAAAUGUCUUAUGCCUCCAGAACCAACAGGACCCAGAACUCCGGGAAUAUGUUGGGUGCCCAGUACAGGCUGAGUGCUGGGCCCACAGCCCCGUUGGCCGGCGGGGCGCUCAGCGGCCCUCUGGAUCACCAGCCUGGGUUACUUCAUCCCGGAGCAAUUCAGACCAAUUCCGUUUCCGAAGGAAUGAGCGAAUUCCCCAGAGAGCAAUGAGCCGAGACUCAGGUAGUGCCUGUUGCUCAAGUUUCUGCCCCCCGAAAGCGUGACCAUGUUGACUGUUUGUUUCGCGAGCUCUGUGGGGCCCCAGAAACUUCCAGGAAUGCGUGGAAGACCAGCAUCGUGUCGGUGCUCUCCUUUCCAGUUUUCAAACAGGCUAUAUUGGAG